rnacentral:RNase_P_RNA from 1 species
AGAUGGCCGGAUGGCCGCUGCCUCACACAGUGGGGGAGAGGAAAGUCCGGGCUCCACGGAAGCACGGUGCCGGAUAACGUCCGGCGAAGGUAACUUCAGGGACAGUGCCACAGAAAGCAAACCGCCUCGCUUGCGGGGUAAGGGUGAAAGGGUGUGGUAAGAGCACACCGCCCGUCUGGUAACAGCCGGGGCAGGGUAAACCCCACCGGGAGCAAAACCAAAUAGGAAUGACCGCUGUUUUCGGGACAGAGCCCCGCUUCCGGGGUGUUAUUCGGGUUGGUUGCAAGAGGCGGCGGGUAACCGUCGUCGUAGAUGAAUGGUCAUCCCCUGUUUGACAGGGACAGAACCCGGCUUACAGGCCAUCUG